UGUUACACAUACCACACCCGUGCACCCUUUGUAGCUCCUCGAAAGAGGAUCUAUGUUUCAUCACAUCAUCCAUUCGUAUGUCUAUAGAAAGGAACACAUCGUAAUAUACAACUUUCAGCGACGGAUCUCUUGGCUCUCGCAUCGAUGAAGGACGCAGCGAAUCGCGAUAUGUAAUGUGAAUUGCAGAUUUCCAGUGAAUCAUCGAAUCUUUGAACGCAUCUUGCGCUCCUCGGUAUUCCGAAGAGCAUGCCUGUUUGAGUGUCAUCGAAAUUCUCAACCAUGUCUUUGAUCGCUCAAUGGCCUGGCUUGGAAUUGGAGGUUGCUGGCCCUGUCAGCUCUUCUGAAAUGUAUUAGCGAACGGGACUCUGAAUCCUCUGCACAUGCACGGCCUUUCGACGUGAUAAUGAUCGUCGUGGGCUGGAGUGGACUUGGAGGAUGGAAUUCGUUCUUGAUAGAUGAGGCCCGACUGUCUUUGUGGGGGGACUAGCGAAUGUGGCGGGAUCGCGUGCUUCGAGGCUUCGAGUCAGUUAUUAGUUGGUCGUAAGACUGGCGAAAGCGGCUCUUCCACCGGUCAAGCCAGCUACUACUAGUCGGUCUUCUCUACACUUACUAGCAAAGGCCGUCGUCGAAACGCUUGACCUCAAAUCAGGUAGGACUACCCGCCGAACUUAAGCAUAUCAAUAAGCGGAGGAAAAGAAACUAACAAGGAUUCCCCUAGUAACUGCGAGUGAAGCGGGAAAAGCUCAAAUUUCGAAUCUGGCGGUCCCCUCGGCCGUCCGAGUUGUAAUCUAGAGAAGCGUCUUCCGCGCUGGCCCGUGUACAAGUCUCCUGGAAGGGGGCGUCAUGGAGGGUGACAAUCCCGUCUUCGACACGGACUACCAGUGCUCUGUGAUGCGCUCUCGACGAGUCGAGUUGUUUGGGAAUGCAGCUCAAAACGGGUGGUAAACUCCAUCUAAAGCUAAAUAUUGGCGAGAGACCGAUAGCGAACAAGUACCGUGAGGGAAAGACGAAAAGAACUUUGGAAAGAGAGUUAAACAGUACGUGAAAUCGCUGAAAGGGAAACGCUCGACGUCAGUCGCGUAGCCCGGGGAUCAACCUUGCCUCUCGCCAGGCGAGGCGCACUUCCCGGACCACGGGUCAGCAUCAGUUUCGGUCGUCAUACAAAGGUGUGAGCGAACGUGGCACUCUUUCGGGUGUGUUAUAGCCUCGCAUCGAAUGUGGUGCUCGGGACUGAGGAACUCAGCACGCCAGCUCAUCACGGCCGGCUC
rnacentral:rRNA from 1 species